UUUUAUUUUAUUAUUUUUUAUUUUAUUAUUUUUUAUUUUAUUAUUUUUUUUAAUAUACUUCUACAAUGUUAGCCAGUUUCCAUAACAUUUGAAUACCAUUGCAAUAUGCACUUUUUUUUUUAAGUAUAUUCUACGCAAAGAAAAAAACACAACGUUGUUACAUAAUAAAUAAAUUAUAAAAAAAAAAAAAAAAAAAAAAAAAAAAGUGCUUAAAGUGAAUGAUGUAGGGACUUUAGACAUUUCGUCCAUUUUUUUUUUUUUUUUUGCUUCUAUACACGCACGCAUAUGUAUAUAUAAACAUAUACGCAUAUGUAUUUAUAAACAUAUACGCAUAAUAUUUACAUUUGAAGAAUGAGGUUUUAAACGUACUAUGAGUUUGAUAAAAUAUGUGCUUUGUUCGGCGGGAGAAUGUUUUAUACGAAAAAAUAUAAACCAUAGAAUAAAUAAAUGUAUCUGUGUAUUUAAAAAAAAAAUCACUUAUUCUUUUGAAAAGAAAAAAAAAAAGUUAAAUGAAAAACGUGAACAUAAUUUUAGUGAUUUUUUUAAUAAUUUUAUGAUAAAUGAUGUAAAAAAACAUGUAAGAAAUUUGUUGAGAUUUCAAAAUGAGCUUAAUUUUUUAUUAAAUAAAGAAAGAGGUACUAAUCAUAAAAAUAAUGAAACUUUUGUUAAAGAAAUAAAGUGCUUUGAUAAAAUAAUACAUGAUGGAGUUUUGGUUUUGCAAGAAGGAAAUUUAGAUUGUAAGGAUGUUUCAAAAAAAGAGGAAUUUUCAAAAAAAGAGGAAUUUUCAAAAAAAGAGGAAUUUAAAAAAAAAGAGGAAUUUAAAAAAAAAGAGGAAUUUGUUUUAACUAAUAGUGACAAGCACAAGGUAGGAGAGGAUGAUGAUGAUGGUAUGGUCGAAAGUAAUGCAAAUAAUAUACAACAUAUACGUGCACAGACAUACAUAAAAAAUAAAAAAAAUAUUAUAAACAAAUUACUGAUACAAUUGGAAUUAAUACAUUUAUUAAAACUAUACAAACAAAUUAAAAAUAAGUUUGUUUUUGAAAAUUUUCUAAUUAGCAUAUUAUAUAAUAAAAUUGGUAAAUAUAAUAAGAGGAAUGUUAAGUCUAGUAAUAAUAAACAUAGUAAACAACAUGUAGACGAUUGUGUUUUAGUUUUUUUUAUUUGUUCAGAUUAUUAUAUUAAGAGAAAUAGUGACAGUGAUAGUAACAACUCGUCCUACUUUAAUAAAAAUUUAAUUAAAUGUAUCAAUAUAAUAAAAUCAGUUUGUAUUUAUUUAUAUAUAAACAUAAAACAAUUAAAUAUAAAAGAGCUUAACGAGAUUGUAAUUAAUUUGAUAAAAAUACAAAAAAAUUGCCCAUUGGACAUAACCGAUGAUACUAUAAAUAAGUUUAUUGAUGUAUUAUCUUAUCGUAUUUUUUUAUUUAACAAUAGAAAAGAAGAAAAAAGUAACGAAGAGUGUUACAUUUACGACUUAACACGUUUUGACACAAACAAUAACAGUAGUAUAAUUAACAGUAGUAUAAUUAACAGUAGUAUAAAUAAUAAUAGUAUAAAUAAUAAUAGUAUAAAUAAUAAUAGUAUAAGUAAUGAUGCUGUAAGUAACAAUGCUGUAAGUAACAAUGCUAUAAGUAACAAUG
ensembl:lncRNA